UACGUAGGGUCCAAGCGUUGUCCGGAAUUAUUGGGCGUAAAGAGCUCGUAGGCGGUGUGUCGCGUCGGAUGUGAAAGCCCCGGGGCUUAACCCCGGGUCUGCAUUCGGUACGGGCAUGCUGGAGUUCGGUAGGGGAGACUGGAAUUCCUGGUGUAGCGGUGAAAUGCGCAGAUAUCAGGAGGAACACCGGUGGCGAAGGCGGGUCUCUGGGCCGAUACUGACGCUGAGGAGCGAAAGCGUGGGGAGCGAACAGG
rnacentral:rRNA from 1 species